GAUGAACGCUAGCGGCAGGCCUAAUACAUGCAAGUCAAGGGGCCAGUAAUGGCACCGGCGGACGGGUGCGUAACGCGUACACAACGUACCUUUGGGUGGGGGAUAGCAUCGGGAAACUGGUGGUAAUACCCCAUGGUAUUGGAGACUGGCAUCAGUUUUCAAUUAAAGACUACGCCCAAAGAUCGGUGUGCGUCUGAUUAGCUAGUUGGUGGGGGUAACGGCCUCCCAAGGCCUUGAUCAGUAGCUGGUCUGAGAGGAUGAUCAGCCACACUGGGACUGAGACACGGCCCAGACUCCUACGGGAGGCAGCAGUGAGGAAUUUUUCGCAAUGGGCGCAAGCCUGACGAAGCAAUGCCGCGUGCAGGAAGAAGGACUGUGGUUCGUAAACUGCUUUUCUCAGAGAAGAAGGUUCUGACGGUAUCUGAGGAAUAAGCACCGGCUAACUCUGUG
rnacentral:rRNA from 1 species